AGCAGCAGCCACGGUAAUACGUAGGUGGCAAGCGUUGUCCGGAAUUAUUGGGCGUAAAGGGCUCGCAGGCGGUUUCUUAAGUCUGAUGUGAAAGCCCCCGGCUCAACCGGGGAGGGUCAUUGGAAACUGGGAAACUUGAGUGCAGAAGAGGAGAGUGGAAUUCCACGUGUGGCGGUGAAAUGCGUAGAGAUGUGGAGGAACACCAGUGGCGAAGGCGACUCUCUGGUCUGUAACUGACGCUGAGGAGCGAAAGCGUGGGGAGCGAACAGGAUUAGAUACCCCCGUAGUCCCUGUCUCUUAUAC
rnacentral:rRNA from 1 species